rnacentral:rRNA from 1 species
UACGUAGGUGGCAAGCGUUGUCCGGAUUUAUUGGGCGUAAAGCGCCCGCAGGCGGUUCGACAAGUUUCAGGUGAAAUCUCCCGGCUCAACUGGGAGGGUGCCUGGAAAACUGUCGAACUUGAGGCAGGGAGAGGGAUGCGGAAUUCCCGGUGUAGUGGUGAAAUGCGUAGAUAUCGGGAGGAACACCAGUGGCGAAGGCGGCAUCCUGGCCCUGUCCUGACGCUCAGGGGCGAAAGCGUGGGGAGCAAAC